GAUAAAACGACUCGAGAAAAGCAAUCCAUAACGUCUGGUUAUUAUUCAUCUGCAUUUUCGUCCCUUCCAAACUCUACACUGAAGUCUGAAAGAACAUUCUUUAUUAAAAUCCAAAACCCAUUUCAUAAAAUCCGAUAACAUUGCUCACCAUCUUGAUUCUGACAAGUUGAUCCAUCUGAGAUGUCAUUUUUUCACUUGAGAUUGUCUGCUCGACAUCCACAUUCAAGCAAUGUUCCAGACACCCUUUUGUGGCCUAUUUCCUCUGUGGUGGAUUAUAUGCAUCGCCAACCAAACGUGUUGCUCUCAAAUUACCAUCAAUUUUUUGUGAAGAAAGUAUUUUCCUCUUAUUCCUGUAGAUGUUCAUUGAGCCUUCAGCCUGUUAGAGCUUUGCAAAGUUCCAUGGGUGCAGAGGAAGGAUUCAUGUUUUGCAACAGUUGUUGGUCAGAUGAUAGUAUAAAAUCAAAACAGAUGCAAAACUUGAGUGAGGAGGCUCAUGUAUAUGAUUGUUAUAGCUCUCAGGAAUUUUCCAAUGAUGAAGACUACAAGGAAGAGCAAAGGAGGAGGAAGAUAGGACUGGCAAAUAAAGGGAGGGUUCCAUGGAACAAAGGCCGGAAGCAUAGUGCUGAGACACGUUUACGAAUCAAACAAAGAACAAUAGAAGCCUUGAAUGAUCCCAAGGUUAGGAAGAAGAUGGCUGAACAUCCCCGCACUCAUAGUGAGGAAAGCAAGGCAAGAAUUGGGUCUUCAGUGAAGCGUGCUUGGGGAAAGCGUUUGAAAUGGAAACGGUUAGGGGAGAGAUUCUUUCUAUCAUGGAUGAAAAGUAUAGCUGAAGCUUCUAGGAAAGGAGGAAGUGACCAAGUGGAGCUAGAAUGGGAUAGCUAUGACAAGAUAAAACAAGAAAUAGUUCUUGAACAGCUACAGUGGGCUGCAGAGAAGGCCAAGGGAAAAGAGAUAGCCAAGGUAAGAGCGGAAAAAGCAAGAGCAGAAAGGAUAGCAAGGAUUGUUCAAAAGAGAAAAGAGCAGGAAGAGAAAGAGAAAGCAAGAGAACUGAAGAGAAGGAUGAAAGAAAAAGCAAGGCAAGAUGAGAGUGUGGCAGACUCCCAAGGAAUGAAACUCAAGCAGAGAUUACAAAUGAUCCGCAAAAAGAAAUCCAUAAGCAGUCAAGUCAGUAUUAAAGGAGACACAUCGCAUAUCCCAGCUCUGGAGAAAUUGAAUAUAGAGCUUAUAAAGAAACAGAAAAUGCAGAGUGAAGUUUCACUUGCAGAGCAGAUCAAAGCAGCCAAAAGCAGAAGAGCAGAACCAAUUUCUGCAAAAAUUCUGGCAGUCUCGUCGUCCUUUGUUUCAUAUAAUGCAAGACUAAAAGAGUAAGCUCCAAAUAUGUUUGUUCCUGUAAACAAAAUCAAAGCAUGGUAUGUCAGGCAGAAGAGGAAGUGACUCUCAUCCAUGAAGAAAAUUUUGAUCAAAGUGAUCAUUGACUUGCUUUGUUCCUGCUUUUGCUUUCAUAUUUUACCAGUUAUGUUCGGUCUUUUACUUUUCUGCUCUCCUCACAAGGUAGCCUAGUGGAUGCCUUUGCACUUGGAGCUUUUGCCUCUCAUCCGAUUACCAUAUUCAGAUUCAAACCGGAGCAAUCCCUGAUGUCUUUUUUUUUUUGAGAUAUAGAGUUUUGUGUUGCUUCCGCAUGAUAGUAUGAAACUAGUAUGUAUAUCUAAACUCACAGUAAAUCCUGUUAGGUAUUCUUCAAUACGGUUCUACUCUUUUGUGAUGUCAUUACACAGUAGUUUACAAACACAUUCCAUUGAUUUGUAUCAUUUUAGUUAUCAAAUGGUAUGUUACGAUUUCUGAA